GAUGAACGCUGGCGGCGUGCCUAAUACAUGCAAGUCGAGCGAACUGAUUAGAAGCUUGCUUCUAUGACGUUAGCGGCGGACGGGUGAGUAACACGUGGGCAACCUGCCUGUAAGACUAGGAUAACUUCGGGAAACCGAAGCUAAUACCGGAUAGGAUCUUCUCCUUCAUGGGAGAUGAUUGAAAGAUGGUUUCGGCUAUCACUUACAGAUGGGCCCGCGGUGCAUUAGCUAGUUGGUGAGGUAACGGCUCACCAAGGCAACGAUGCAUAGCCGACCUGAGAGGGUGAUCGGCCACACUGGGACUGAGACACGGCCCAGACUCCUACGGGAGGCAGCAGUAGGGAAUCUUCCGCAAUGGACGAAAGUCUGACGGAGCAACGCCGCGUGAGUGAUGAAGGCUUUCGGGUCGUAAAACUCUGUUGUUAGGGAAGAAUAAGUACAAGAGUAACUGCUUGUACCUUGACGGUACCUAACCAGAAAGCCACGGCUAACUACGUGCCAGCAGCCGCGGUAA
rnacentral:rRNA from 1 species